CGGGUGCACUGAUCCAGCCGGGCCUUUCCCUCUGUGGAACCCCAUGGCCUUCACUGGCUGUGGUGGGGAAACAGGACUUUUACUUUGAAAAAAUUAGAGUGCUCCAGGCAGGCCUAUGCUCGAAUACAUUAGCAUGGAAUAAUAGAAUAGGACGUGUGGUUCUAUUUUGUUGGUUUCUAGGACCGCCGUAAUGAUUAAUAGGGACAGUCGGGGGCAUCAGUAUUCAAUUGUCAGAGGUGAAAUUCUUGGAUCUAUUGAAGACUAACUACUGCGAAAGCAUUUGCCAAGGAUGUUUUCAUUGAUAAGGAACGAAAGUUAGGGGAUCGAAGACGAUCAGAUACCGUCGUAGUCUUAACUAUAAACUAUGCCGACUAGGGAUCGGACGAUGUUAUUCUUUGACGCGUUCGGCACCUUUCGAGAAAUCAAAGUGCUUGGGCUCCAGGGGGAGUAUGGUCGCAAGGCUGAAACUUAAAGAAAUUGACGGAAGGGCACCACCAGGGGUGGAACCUGCGGCUUAAUUUGACUCGACACGGGGAAACUCACCAGGUCCAGACACAGUGAGGAUUGACAGAUUGAGAGCUCUUUCUUGAUUCUGUGGGUGGUGGUGCAUGGCCGUUCUUAGUUGGUGGAGUGAUUUGUCUGCUUAAUUGCGAUAACGAACGAGACCUUAACCUGCUAAAUAGCCCGUACUGCUUUGGCAGUUCGCCGGCUUCUUAGAGGGACUAUCGG
rnacentral:rRNA from 1 species